rnacentral:misc_RNA from 1 species
ACGUUUUCAACGUUUUGACCCUCUCUCUUAUUUUCCGUGCACCCGGCCUCCCGACCUUUCCUCUCGGUUUAUUCCGUCUGCUGAUCGUGCCGGGCGCCUUCGGGGUUCAUAGAAAGUCUUUGAUUCUGAAAAGGAGCGCAAGCUCUGUAGUACGAAGCGCUGAUUUUUCUCCUGUUGUGCGUUGCCAAAUAACCCAAAACCCUUAAAUCUAAUUGCUCUGAACUCUUUAGUUGCUUGAUUCAUUUCAACAACGAUUAAAAACAAACAACAACUCUUAACAACGGAUAUCUUGGUUCU